AUUGAACGCUGGCGGCAGGCCUAACACAUGCAAGUCGAACGAGUGGCGGACGGGUGAGUACUGUCUGGGAAACUGCCUGAUGGAGGUGGAUCACUACUGGAAACGGUAGCUAAUACCGCAUACCAUCAGAUUUGCCCAGAUGGGAUUAGCUAGUUGGUGGGGGAACGGCUCACCAAGUCGACGAUCCCUAGCUGGUCUGCGAGGAUGACCAGCAACACUGGAACGGAGACACGGGCCAGACUCUGACGGGAGGCAGCAGGGGGGAAUAUUGCACAAUGGGCGCAAGCCUGAUGCAGCCAUGCCGCGUGUACGAAGAAGGCAUUCGGGUUGUAAAGUACUUUCAGCGGGGAGGCGUUACCCGCAGAAGAAGCACCGGCUAACUCCGUGCCAGCAGCCGCGGUAAUAC
rnacentral:rRNA from 1 species